rnacentral:rRNA from 1 species
AGCUAGUCGGCGGGGUAACGGCCCACCGAGGCGACGAUGCGUAGGGGUUCUGAGAGGAAGGUCCCCCACACUGGUACUGAGACACGGACCAGACUCCUACGGGAGGCAGCAGUGAGGAAUAUUGGUCAAUGGGCGCGAGCCUGAACCAGCCAAGUCGCGUGAGGGAUGGCGGUCCUACGGAUUGUAAACCUCUUUUGCCGGGGAGCAAGCGUGCGUUCGUGAACGCGCGUCGAGAGUACCCGGAGAAAAAGCAUCGGCUAACUCCGUGCCAGCAGCCGCGGUAAUACGGAGGAUGCGAGCGUUAUCCGGAUUUAUUGGGUUUAAAGGGUGCGUAGGCGGGAUGCCAAGUCAGCGGUAAAAAUGCGGUGCUCAACGCCGUCGAGCCGUUGAAACUGGCGUUCUUGAGUGGGCGAGAAGUAUGCGGAAUGCGUGGUGUAGCGGUGAAAUGCAUAGAUAUCACGCAGAACUCCGAUUGCGAAGGCAGCAUACCGGCGCCCUACUGACGCUGAGGCACGAAAGCGUGGGUAUCGAACAGGAUUAGAUACCCUGGUAGUCCACGCAGUAAACGAUGAAUGCUAACUGUCCGGUGCGAGUGAGCGCUGG